GUAGGUGGCAAGCGUUGUCCGGAAUUAUUGGGCGUAAAGCGCGCGCAGGUGGUUCUUUAAGUCUGAUGUGAAAGCCCCCGGGCUCAAACCGGGGAGGGUCAUUGGAAACUGGGGAACGUUGAGUGCAGGAGAGGAAAGUGGAAUUCCACGUGUAGCGGUGAAAUGCGUAGAUAUGUGGAGGAACACCAGUGGCGAAGGCGACUUUCUGGCCUGUAACUGACACUGAGGCGCGAAAGCGUGGGGAGCAAACAGGAUUAGAUACCCUGGUAGUCCACGCCGUAAACGAUGAGUGCUAAGUGUUGGGGGGUUUCCCGCACUCAGUGCUGCAGCUAACGCAUUAAGCACUCCGCCUGGGGAUACGGUCGCAAGACUG
rnacentral:rRNA from 1 species